rnacentral:rRNA from 1 species
GUGCGUAACGCGUAUGCAACCUACCUUUUACUGGGGGAUAGCCCGGAGAAAUCUGGAUUAAUACCCCAUAGUACCUAAGGAUCGAUUGGUUUUUAGUUUAAAGAUUUAUCGGUAAAAGAUGGGCAUGCGUCUGAUUAGCUAGUUGGCGGGGUAACGGCCCACCAAGGCGACGAUCAGUAGGGGUUCUGAGAGGAAGGUCCCCCACACUGGCACUGAGAUACGGGCCA